rnacentral:rRNA from 1 species
UGCAAGUCGAGCGGACGGAUGGGAGCUUGCUCCCUGAAGUCAGCGGCGGACGGGUGAGUAACACGUGGGCAACCUGCCUGUAAGACUGGGAUAACUCCGGGAAACCGGGGCUAAUACCGGAUAACUCUUUUCCUCACAUGAGGAAAAGCUGAAAGAUGGUUUCGGCUAUCACUUACAGAUGGGCCCGCGGCGCAUUAGCUAGUUGGUGAGGUAACGGCUCACCAAGGCCACGAUGCGUAGCCGACCUGAGAGGGUGAUCGGCCACACUGGGACUGAGACACGGCCCAGACUCCUACGGGAGGCAGCAGUAGGGAAUCUUCCGCAAUGGACGAAAGUCUGACGGAGCAACGCCGCGUGAGUGAUGAAGGUUUUCGGAUCGUAAAACUCUGUUGUCAGGGAAGAACAAGUACCGGAGUAACUGCCGGUACCUUGACGGUACCUGACCAGAAAGCCACGGCUAACUACGUGCCAGCAGCCGCGGUAAUACGUAGGUGGCAAGCGUUGUCCGGAAUUAUUGGGCGUAAAGCGCGCGCAGGCGGUUCCUUAAGUCUGAUGUGAAAGCCCCCGGCUCAACCGGGGAGGGUCAUUGGAAACUGGGGAACUUGAGUGCAGAAGAGAAGAGUGGAAUUCCACGUGUAGCGGUGAAAUGCGUAGAGAUGUGGAGGAACACCAGUGGCGAAGGCGACUCUUUGGUCUGUAACUGACGCUGAGGCGC